ensembl:lncRNA novel transcript
GGGGGCUGGAAACCCAAGGGGCCGAUCAAGGGUUCUUGAUUCAACCAAACCUCCCCCUUGCCAUCCUCCAUGCAGAACGCGUCCCUGGGGCCUUCACCCUGUCGUGAACAAAGCACGACUAUUUUGUAAAGGGAAGAUCAAAGAGCCAGAAGUCGCGGAUGAGUGUGUGGCAGGAGGCGAGGCUGAUAUUUUCAGGAGACCUGGUGAUUUGACCUGACACCUGUCAGUCAGUCUCCGGUAUGUCAUUAUCAGCAGUGUGAAAAUGGACUCACUCCCACCCUGUCUGGAUCUGGACAAGAGCCCACCACCCCGUUGGCAGUAGUCAGGCAGCUCUGCUUCUAAGAACCUGCAGCUUUUGGAAGAAAGGCACCCUGUGGUUUCAGAAGCCCAAGAGUCCCUGCAGCUCAGCACCCCCAGCCUGGUGCUUGGCAGAUGACUGCCUCCUCACUUAGCAGAGGGAGCAGAAAACUGUGUAUUCUUCAGAACAUCAUGAUAACCUGGCACUCAUGGGUCUAUGGAGAGAAUUCAGGGGGUCUGGGAGCUUGGAUGGAAUAAAUUUGCAUCUUUAUUUUCAGGAAAGUUUUACUGAAGUUUAGCAUUUUCUUUCAUUAUAAAUGGAAUCAGUAUAACCCAAUAGUAUGAGCAGUUACUUCUCCGCAACAUCAAAGUGGCUGCAGAUAUCUCAAAAUAGUAUUUACAUUUAUCAUAACUUAGAAAUUUGGGUGGUAAUUAAACCAGCAACUAUUCUUUGUUUAAUGCAUUAAGAAAGAAGUAUGUAUACUAUCAUAUCUCAAUUAAAAAUAUUUUAAGAACUGGAUUUUAACUU